rnacentral:lncRNA from 1 species
GAUGUUUUUUGCAAAUCCGUUUGAGGUUUUCACAUUCAAUCCGUUGGACGCAGAAAUGAGGAUGGUAUUGCAGGAAGUGUGCUACCUGAACGAUAUAACCCACCUGAAAACAUACACAAAUAAACAUGUAAGAUAGAAAGUGAUACAAACCUGAAGACGAAGUCUCUUCAUUGAUCCAGUGUGAGUCCUCUCUGCCCAGUCCUCAUUUCACAGAGGAUCUCUUGAACAGUGAUACGUGUCGUGUCCCUUCGCUAGGCAGAGGUAGCAUUUCUUUUGUUCAUGAGCAAAAGGAUCCACUCCAGGCUAAAAGAAGAAACAAAAAGUCAAAUCUGGAAAACAAGUGACCCCCUUGCAGUGUCUUUCCCAAUGGCCUCUCUUCUUACAAUUUCUGCAUUGGUCGACGAGUAACCCCUCCUUCUCACCCGGACGAUGAGUUCCUAUGAUCUCGUACCUGUUACAAACAAAAGCUAGUAAAGAUCGAACUCAAUCUUGCGUACCUUGCUCGUGGGUUCUCGAUUGCAAAAACGUCCACCUCCUUCGGCUUUUCCUUUGUGAACACAUUGUGCUGCCCGUUGCUGCUGCCGCCAUAGGCCUUCAUCCUCAAAACGUAAGCCUUCCUGUAGUGCCCGUUGCUGCUGCUGGUGUACGCCUUCAUCCUCAAAACGUAAAGUCCAGAACCCACAGGUAGCUAUACCCCGUUCUUGUCCCUGCUGUAUUGAAAAGAUACAGAAAAGCAGAAAAGACACGAGCUUUAAUUCCAGGAUCCCUUACCUGGAGAACCGAAGCAAUGCAAUCAAAGAGGAGAACACGAUGUAGCUCCGUAGCAGUGCCACAAAUAAUUAGGUUUCCAUGAGCCGCAGGCGGGAGAAUCUGGGCGAUACCUUGACCACCCUGCCGCAAAAUCUACAGUUAUUGACAUUCUUUUCCCACUUACAUCGUUAAAACUUAACGACUGCGUGUGUUGCACGCACCAGAGAAAGAUUUUGCGGUGCGUGCAACCCCUCUCUCGAGAACAGGAUCUGCUUCAUAUAGCAGGCCGUCUCGCCUUCCACCAGUUUUUCUAGAGCUGCCUUGCACCGAGCCACACCUUACAAGCUCGAGGAUGAGAUCUCGAUUCGCUUCAUACCUUCACAAAGUGGCUUCCGAGUGGAAAAUGAAUGAAGCAUAGCAGCAUGCCUUCAAAGUCUCACCUAGUGUGCGAAACACGGCUUUGCAUGUCAAUUUCUACCACUCCUCACAGCCAUCGAGAGUCGUGCCUUCAAGGCUAGCAAGAGCAUGCGCUGCAGCGUCGUGAUCAUUCCCGAUCCAAGCUUUGGUCGACAAGCCUCUGAGCGCAUCAAUCACCUCCUCACCAAGUCCAGCUGGUACUCACUUGCAGAACGUUCACCCGCGGCUUUUCCAUGAAGCACGAUAACCUUCGUCAUCUUCUUCCCACUCAAAGUCUGAGCAGUGCCAUUGUGUCGCUUGUCAACGCUCGAACCAAGCCUGACUGGAUUUCCAAGAACAUGAAACGGGGGCGGCUCCACAGAUUUUACUGGCUCAGGAGAGUUCUUGCUUCACCUUCUCAGGAUCCAGAUCAAGGUCGAUGAAGGGAGAUGAACACACCUGACUGUGAGCACUGGCUAACUUUACACGAAUCAUCAUGUGUGCACUUGGACAAGAUAAACAUAAGGUAAGAACUCUUAUAUAUAUCUUGAUGAGCAUCCUUAGCUUGGGACGUACGUGACGUAUGGGCCACGGACGACUUUUCCCGUACAUGAAAGUAUCACGGUAUCCAUGUCUCCAGGAUCGCACUCGGUAACCAUGAGGCCUCUAUCUCGUAGAUGACGCCAUGAGAUAAGAAAACGCAGCUCGCUGGUUAGCUUUCUUCAUGGAAGUGAUAACCAGACUCUUGCCGGCCUUACAUUGUGCGUCUGGGGCCCCGAGUUUCAGCGCAAGUUGGGCCUUGAAGAGGUGAGAAAACUCCUCUUCGCUGGAAAUCUAUUGUUAGUAAGAAAACAAAAGAGAAAAUGGCCUGAUCUCCAAGGGCAGAGAAGAAGCACGAGUAAAAGAAUGCUGUGUAUUGAUAAGAAAAACGAUGGAAUGGAGAUAGGGAUCCACAAUUUGGAUUCCCCCUUUUGAAAUGCUAGCGGUUCUAACUGCUAGCAUAUACCAUAUGCUGUGCAUGAUUUAAUCUAUGGCUCCGAUGCAGCCCUGGGUUCAAAGUCGGAGUCCCCUGAACCUUGUUUUUGGUUGAGACACUCUGCUCCCCUGACAGAACUAGACACCGUCCUCGGUGCGAACAUAGUCAGUUUCCAUCGCUUGUUGCUGCUGCUGCUCCAGUCGAUAGAGGCGACGUUUUUGCUGUGGGAGUGUAAGCUCGUGGUUAGGGACGCUGUCUGGUGGAUCUGUCCCAUCUUCCUGGAGGUCGGCUACCUCAGCCAGCAGGGCGGUAUGAUCAUCCUCGAGUUUUCGGUAGCGGGUGUUGAGCUCUUCAUAUUUGAAUUUGUAGGUGAAUUCGUGAGCUGCUGAUGGCUGCUUGGAGACGAUCUUCCUGAUGUCCCGGAGGUCAGUGCAGAUCUGCUUCAUCUCUUCAAUCUGAGUUUCCAGCCGGUGGUUUAAAGGCUCAUAAAAUUCCUUCUUGAUCGCUCCCCGGGUGUAUAUGAAGGAGUCUUGCUUGAGAAGAUGCUGUGCAAUGUCGGCUGGUGUUGGGAAGUAGUUUGCUUGCUCGCGGUGCAUGCGUUGAUCCAGGGCUUCAAACAACUUGCGGGUGCAGUAGCUUGGGUCGCGAAGUUUAUCUUCCUACUCCUUCCUGAUCUCAUCAUAAUCACGGCGUACCUGACUCUGUGGCUGAGGCAUGGUUGCUGCUCCUGCUCCUGCUCGGUGAUCCUGGUGUUUCUCGCUAGGGUUCGCUCUGUUCUUGGUCCCGGGAGUUGAAGUUACUGGAGGCUGAAUCUGCUUCGUUGGAUGUGGGUGACGUGGUUGGGCCAGAUUUUUUGAGGUGGUUGGAGAUGAGCUUUUCAGUUUGAUGGUGGAUGAACGGCCCAGAUGUGGCGUUGAAAUUAAUUUAUCCAUUGAGAAAUUUUUCGCUUGGAAUUUUGUUGAAGGGGCGGAAUUUUUGUGAAUGCUGGUCGUGGUAUUUGCUGGAGGAGACAUGGUUGCGUGUUCUUCAAGUGAUUGGCGAAGGUAGUCAAUGUUUUCUUUUGUAGAACGUGUCAAGGAGGUCGGGGCGUUGAGAAUGUUGUUCUCAGCUGGUGUAGAAAUUGAGUUCUGGGUGAUCAGCUGACGUUUUUCUUUGGCAAUGUUGAUGUGUUUGUGAGAAGUUGUCGGUUUUGGGGCUGAUUCGAGUGGAUGCGGGUUCUGGGGUGAUUGUUGAUGGUGGUGUGAGUUGUGUUCCUUGUCGCUGAUGAUGAGGUGCUCUCGGAUCAGCGGUUUGGGAGCUGGAUUCGCUGGUGUUUUGCGUGUGAAGCGGCGGCGAAGUGGAGUUGAAUUGUUGGAGUGUUUGUUGCUGGAGCUGGUGUUGUUGGAGUGAGUUGAGCCUGAUUGUUGAGAUGCUGGCUUCUGUUUCUUGCUGGGAGUUGCUCCUUCUGAUUCUGAGUGUUCUUCGGAGCUGUCGCUUUGUUCUGUGGAGUUCGUUUGGGUUGUCCACGGUUGCUUGUUGGGAAGAGCUUGGUGUAGAGCGAUCAGCAGUGGGAAGAUUACUGUGCGCAUGGUCUUCUUGUUGAGUGUGGCGAGGAUGGCGCGGUCGAGAAGCUUGAGAAGGAGCUCGUGGAGAUGGUGAGCCACGUUCACACGUUUGCCGUCGAGUAGAGCUCCGUAGACUUCUGCUGUGCGCUUGCCGAUGGUGCGAUCUGUUGGGCGAAGUUCGUAGUAGAGGAGGAGGGCUUUGAGUCGAUCCAUAUGCUGCUCGUCGAUGUCCUCCCAUGUGAGCUCACCAGUAAUUUCUCGAUUGGCCUUGAUGAUUUGCUGUGGAACUUCUCCUGAAAAUUUGAGCAGUCCCUUGUUGGAGAUUUUGAAAACAGAGGCGAUUCUUGCUGGGCUGAGGGUGAUCUCGUUGGUGCCGUCGGUUAUGGUGCUGUUCUUGGGGUUGAAGGAGGCGGCCAGUUUCCUUGCUAGUUUUUGAUCAGGGUGUGUUGAAAAGGCCUUGUGGAGGAGCUCGAAUCCGUGGUCCUUGAGCCAGGUGGUUGUGUCGUUGCUGGGAAGCCUAGGAAUAUGGUGUAUGACGUAUCUGAGGCAUCGGGGUGGAUGAGCUGGCAUCUUUCUCUUCAUUUUCUGCGAUCGAAGUGCUCGCCCCGUUAGGGUUCUUGAAACCUGUAACUGUUGGUUGGCUGAUCGUGCGGCGCUCGAUUGCUGGUGAUGAACGGUCGAGAUUUGUUGACGGAAUUGAUGUGGUUUGAUUUGGCUUGAUUGCAAAUCAAUGGUGGAUAUUGGUGAUGAAGUUAACUCAAGUUCAACUAUUGAUAUUUGCUCAGGUGGCGUUGAUCCAACAGUAGCUUGGGACUUACAGAUUUUUGCUGCUGUUUGUUGCUGAAGUUGGUGGAUGAGUUCGUGUUGAGUUGAGUUGAGUUGUAUCGAACUGAUUUGAGUUAAAGUUUGUCUAUUGGGGUGAGUGUUGAUUGUUGGUUUUGGGGUGUUUGUCGGUUUGGGUCUGAAAUUUGUUGAGGUGUUGAUGUUGAAUAUGUUGACGUGAUAUGGUCGAAGCUUGUUGAGGUUGACGAUCUCAGUGAAGUCUUCGGCGAGUGUGCUGACUUUGGCGAUGCCGUUGGGGUAUAGUUCAAUGAUUUUGAAAGGUCCUUGCCAGUUGGUGUGGAGUUUUCGGCCAAGUUUGCCGAUGGGUCCUCGGUACCAGAGAACAUGGUCGUCGACGCUGUAUUUGGGAAUGUUAUGCCGGGAUGCUUGUCGGUCGUGCCGAGCUUUUCUCUGUUUUUGGAUGGCGUGAAGUGUCCAAAGGGCAUUUAGUCGGAGUUCGUCGAGAUGUUCGAGUUGCUGAAGCCUUUCUCGAACUGCAUGUCGGGUGUCGAGAUUAUACUUGACGGUGACUCGCAUGCUUGGGACGAUGAAUUCGAUUGGCGUGAUGGCUUCUGUUCCAAAGGCGAGUUUAAAUGGCGUCAUGUCAGUGGUGACUUUAUACGCAGUUCGAUAGGCCCAAAGUACAUCAAGAAGUUUGUCGUCCCAGUCUUUGCUGGAAUCGUUGAUGACUUUUUUGAGGAUGGUCUUCAGUGUUUUGUUCGUUGCUUCUGCUUGACCGUUGCCUUGAGGAUAGUAUGGUGUCGACGUUUUAUGUCGGAGUUUGAACUCGGUGGCGAGAUGUUCGAUUGUUUGGUUGAUGAAGUGGGUGCCUCUAUCGGUGACGAGUUCAAGUGGUGUGCCGAAACGAGUGAUGAUAUUUUCGUAGAUGAAGGUUGCUGUUGCUUUUGCUGUGGCAUGUUGGAGAGGUAUUGCUUCGGCCCACUUGGUAGUGUAAUCGGUGGCGACGAUGAUGUACUGAUUUCGUCGACGGGUGCUGACUUGGGGUCCGACGAAGUCGAGUCCCCAUUUCUGAAAUGGUGCCAUUGGGAAUGUUGGGUUGAGUUGUUGAGUCUGAGUUUUCGGUGGUAAUCGGUGUCUUUGACAUGUGUCGCAGCAUUUGCAGAAUUCUUCAGUGUCGUGCCAGAGUGUCGGCCACCAGAGGCCGGCUUGAAGAAUCUUCCGAGUGGUUGUGUCAGCAGUGAAGUGUCCGCCGGAAGGUCCAUCAUGAGCUUCCUUGAUGAUUUGAGUUGUGUGUGGCUGCUUGAUGCAUCGGCGAAGAAUGUUGUCAAUUCCGAGUUUGUAGAGAGUGCCUCCAAUGAUUGAGUAUCGUCGGGUUUUAGCAACAAAAGUCUUCUUUUGGUCGGACGUAGUGUACUGAUCUGGAACUUUUGCUGAGUUGAGGUAACUGAAGACGUCAUCGAGCCAGGUUGCUGGUAUUGAAACUCGGAAUAGGUUUGAGUCGGGUAAGUCAUCGGUAAGUAUUUCGGGUUUGUCGCCGGUGGUGAUCCGGCUGAGAUAAUCUGCUUGUUCAUGAUUUUUGCCGGGUUUGUGGACGAUCUCGAAGUUGUAUUCUUGUAGUAAAAGGAACCAUCUUGAUAUUCGACCAGAUAGUAUUGGCUUGUUGAUGAGGUAAAGGAGUGCCUUGUGGUCGACGAAAAUUACGACUUUAGUUGAUAGUAUGUAGUGUCGAAACUUCUGAAGUGAGUAGAUCAUGCCGAGAGCUUCUUUCUCGGUGGUGGUGUAAUUUCGUUCAGCUGGGUUGAGUAGUCGGCUGGCGUAGUAGAUCGGUUGAUCGCGGUUGUCGUGUUGAGUUUGGCUCAGAAUUGCACCACUGGCGACAUCGGAAGUGUCGACAUGAAUGUGGAACUCUUGUGUCCAGUCAGGCUUGGCAAGGAUCGGUGCUGUUGUUAGUUUGAGUCGGAGAUUAUCGAAUGCUUGUUGCUGUUCGGACGUCCAUGUCCAUUGGGCAUCUUGUUUUAGUCCAUCGGUGAGUGGUUUGGCAAUGUGAGCGUACUUGUGGAUGAAUCGUCGGUGAUAUCCUACUUUGCCGAGGAAGCACCGAAGUUCUUUCUGGUUCUUCGGCGGUUCAAGUUUGGAGAUGACGUCAACUUUGUCCUUGUCGAUGAGAAUGCCAUGUUUGCAGACAACGUGGCCGAGGAGUACUCCAGAUUUGACGAAGAAAGCACAUUUGUCGGGGUUGAGUGCUAUGUUGUUCUCCUCACACUUGUUGAGGCAUUUCUCCAGGCAUUCAAGAUGUUGAUCUUCCGAGCUGAACACGCUGAAGUCGUCCAUGAAGACUCUCAUGAAGUCAGUGAGGUAGUCUCGGAAAGUGUUGGUAACAAGCCUUUGGAAGGUGAAUGGGGCGUUGCAGAGUCCAAAAGGCAUUCGUCGAUAAGCAUAGGCUCCCCAUGGACUGAUGAAUGCUGUCUUGUGCUGAUCUUCUUCGGCGAUGUGAAUUUGGUUGUAGCCGGAGAAACCAUCGAGGAAGGAAUACAUCUCGUGUCCAGCGACUACGUCAAGAACUUCGUCGGUAAAUGGUAUCGGGAAGACAUCUUUUUCGGUGGCGUCGUUGAGCUGUUUAUAGUUGACGCAGAUUCAAAGUUUGCCAUUUUUCUUCGGUACAACCACCAGUGGUGAAAGCCAUAUCAGAUUCUGAAUUGGGUAGAUGUACUCGACAUGGAGAAGCUUGUCGAGUUCUUUCUUUACUUGUGCCAUCAGAUUCGGAUUCAUCCGGUAGGCUGCUUGUCUUCUUGGUUUUGAGUCUGGAAGAAGGGUGAUGGUGUGAAGGCUGAGUUUUGGCGAAACUCCCUUAAGGUCUCGAUAACUCCAAGCAAACAAGUGUUUCUUCUUUCGGAGAAGAUUGAUGCCUUUGUCUCAAAAACUUGCCGAGAUGUCAAUGGCGAGUACAAUGUAGUGUUCGUUGCCAUCGUCGGCAAGGCUGACUUUUUCGAGUUUUUGGUCUGCUGGAAUUGAUGGAAUGUAGGCAACUUUGUUGUGGUUAUCGACUGUGAAUGCCGGUGGCGCUUCGAGUUUUGUAUCUCGAGUGACUGGAUUUUUCAGUGCUGAUGUAAUCGGGGGUCGUUCUCGUUGGAAGUCGGCGACAAUUCGGAAGAGGUCGAUCUCGGCCAAAGGUUCGAGAUCGGGGUAGGCUGUGAGAAUUUGUUGUUCUUGAUAGUUGUCGAGGCCAUCUUCGAGAUUAUAUUCUUCCAAGUCAAUAGGUCGGUUGUGGCUGGACAGUGAUUUAGUCGCUUUUGUCGACACAGUUGUUGGUCCGUCUGGUCCGUGAAGGAUAAGAUUGUCAUUGGGCCAAUCUUGAUAAACUUGGGCAGUUCAGAGCCAAGGUCGACCGAGGAGAAUUGAGUAUCCGUCGGUCUGCUCCGGUAGUUUGAGGACGACAUAGUUGACUGGUAUUUUGACGCCUUGAAUGGUGGUGUUGACUUUUCGGAUGAUGCCUUUGGGUUGAACAGAUCGGUGGUCGGCCAUUCGGACAUUGAAAGGUGCUGGGUGAACUGGGCCAAUGUUGAGUUGUUGAACAAGACUUUCUUCAAUAAUAUUAACGCUGGAGCCGCCGUCAAUUAUGGCUCCUCGAACAAGAUGUUUGUCGAGUCGUAGGUCGAUUGUCGGAACAUCAUUGUCACAAUCGCCUGGUUGAAUCUCGGUUCAAAAUGUGUCAACAGCUGUCUGUGUUGAGUUGAGUGUGGGCGAGUCUAUCAAAGUGUUGGUCGGUGCAGAUGUCAGAUCAGUGAGCUGUUUGGUGAGGUAGGGUGCAAUCUUCAGCAGUUGGCCAAUGGUGAUCUGAAUAUUUUGGUUGAGGAUAGUCUCUGCGACUGCUUGGAUUUUGUCGAAGUUUGCCGAAUUGUGUUCUGGUGUCGGUGUCGAUGUUGGACGAUUUGUCUGUCCGUUUUCUGGUAUUGAGUCUUGGCAUUGUUGUCGAGCUAGUGAUGGUUGAGCUUCAUUGUCGGAGUCUAAAAUCACUAAUUCGGAUGGGUGUAGAGCGAGUUGCUGCUGUAUCUUGGCAGCUAACUUCUGCUUCUUUUUCCAUUCCCGGAGUUUUGUCGGGCUCUCAGGGCCUUUCUCUUCACUAUCUCCGGAAUCUCUAUCCGGUUGUUGUUGUUUUUCUGCUCGAAUUUGUGCUCGGGUUUGUACUGCCAUGACUUGAGGAUCUGAGUCGUCAUUGUCGGCAUAAGGUAGUUCGUCGGUCUCGACCAUCCUUGUUGUUGGUGGUUGCUGCUGGUUCUGAUCUUGUUGUCGAGGAGGCGGUGGACCAAGUCUCGGCGAACCGCCUUGGUUUUGAAGUCGAGGUUGCCAUAGUCGGUUGUUGUAGUUGCCUUGGUAGGCCUGGUCUUGAUAACCUUGGCCUUGGUAUCUUCGGUUUUGGUAUCUUGGGUAUUGUUGGUAUCCUUGGUUGUAGUUGUCUCGGUUUGCCGGGUAGUUCCGGUUCGGCAGGUAUUGUCGAUCGUUGUAGUUGUUGUUGUAGUCGUUGUUGUAAUUGUUGUAGUUGUUGUAGCGAGGUUGAUCAUUCCAUUGUCGACUCUGGUGUUGGAAGUUGUUUCUGAGCGGUCUCCAGUUUGUUGGAGGUGGUGCUUGGUGAUUGUCGAAGUAUUGAUUUGGAUAUGCUUGUCGAAACUGCUGUCGGGGAGAGUUCGAGACUUGUCGAACUUCUGGAGAAUUUCAAAAUCUGCAAGUCUUGGCGUCAUGACCUUCUUUGGCACAGAUUUGGCAUUUGGAGAUUUGGAGUUUGCAGUCACUUGCCGGAUGUCCUUCGUUCUUGCACUUAGUACACCAAAUUCCAGAUCGAAAUUCUUUGAUGUCGGUCUUGGCUUUUCCCUUGAGCUUGUCGAUUGUUUUCCUGAGUUUCCGAAGCUUUGACUUGGUGCUCUCUCCGAGUUCAUCGUCAGAGUCGUCAUCGGAACUGCUAUCAGAAUCUGAGUUAUCUGUGUCAUCUACUUGUGCUGUCAUUCGUCGAGCUUGAACAUCUUGAAGGGCUCUUGCGAGUUCGAGGUAAGUGGCAACGUUGAUGUGUGUUGCUGCUUCUCGGAGGGAUCGUCGGAGUCCUUGCAUGUACCAUUGGUAAAGUAAUGUUUCGGUGGCACUGUUUCCGCAUUUGCUAGCAUGUCGAGUGAAGGUUUGAGUGUAGUCGUUGAUAGAUUGACCGGACUUCUGCUUGAGUUUUUGGAUCUUGUGAAGUCGUUAACUUUGAGUGAGGGAAGACUUGAAUCGGUCUACGAGUUUGAGUGUGAGGUCGUCAAAACUUGUAUUUUGAGGAAGCGUUUGAGCCCAUUCGUUGGCUCUCUUUCGAAGGGUACAUCGGAAAUAGUAUGGAAGUUCGGUCGUCUGGUUGUUGAUUCGGAUGGCUUCUCGGAACUGUUCAACAUGUUUCUCGGCAUCUUCUGACUUCAGACCAUGAAAUAGUGGAUAGGAGACGUGUCUUCCGACUGGUAUGUUGGCGACGGCAGUAGUGACUGCCAUUUGCUGUUGGUAAUAAUGUCGGUAUUGUCGAGGUUGUUUUGUCAGGUUGUUACUGUGGAGUCCUNNNNNNNNNNNNNNNNNNNNNNNNNNNNNNNNNNNNNNNNNNNNNNNNNNNNNNNNNNNNNNNNNNNNNNNNNNNNNNNNNNNNNNNNNNNNNNNNNNNNNNNNNNNNNNNNNNNGACUGUUGUCGGGUGUGUCUUCGACGUCGUCGUAGUCGUCGGUGUCGGGUUGCUUGCCGGUGUUGAUUUUCGGAAGAUGGUGGUCGAACUUGUUGUCGACGUACUUGUCGGAGUUAUGUUGUGUUGGUUGUGGUUGUUCUUUUAAAUUGUGAAAGAGUUCUUCGAUCGUAUAGUUGUGUGGUGAUUGUGGUUGCUGUGGAAGAUUGUUGUCGUCGACAAUUGGUUCGUCGAUCUCGUUGUUGUUGGAUGAUUGUAGCUGUUCGGCAGGUCGAUGUGAGUUGUUGAUGUGGAGUGCUUGACUAUUGGACGAUUCAGGUUGUUCGUCUUUACUGCUGCUGACUGGGUAUAUUGGAGUGCAACUGUAAUUGGUGAAGUCGAGUUGUUGUCUCGUCGGUGCGUUGAAGUCGAAAGCGUGUUCGAAAGGUCUUGCUGAUAGCGGGCUUCGAUAGAUGUUGGAAGCAAAUGUAGGAUAUAUUGGUGUUGUGAAGAUCGGUCGGUAUGGCGAAAAUGGUGCUGGUCUGGUGAAGUCUGUGAAGCUGGGUGGGAAACUUGGUCGUUCGUUGUCACUAUAGAUGGGGUUGGUGAAUGUACCUUUGAAGUGGUUGUAUGCUGCUUGAAAAAUGUUUUGUUGCUCGGGCGUAGUCUGUGUCGACUGCUCGAAUGUUCGGUUGGGCUCGGGCACUUUGGUGGGUGCCGUCAAGGGUGCUGAUUCAGGCUCGGGCACUUCGGUGGGUGCUGUCGAGGGUGCUGCCGGUGGUGUGUCCGGUGGUGUUGUGUAGUUGUCGUAUUCUUUGCGGAUGUCCGAUACUGAUUCGUCGGAGUUAGCUCGCGGUAAUAAUUCGUGUCGGAUGUAAUUCUCUCUCUUGGAGGGUCUAAGAAUUUGAUUCAACUUCUCUUGGUCUUUCUUUCUCUUUAUUUCUAAAUUCUUCAAAUCUCUAUCUAAACGUCGGAUAAGCCGUUGUCGGUCUUCUUCCGACUUGCUGGAUGUUCUUCAUGGUUUUGGAUACAUGCAUUCUUCUACUGGUUGUCGGUGUCAGAUUUGUGUCUGCAGUCAAUCAUGCAGUUCGGGCAGAACUUUGGGAAGACUGUCGGUGGGCCAAUUGUUGAUAAAGUCGUCGUGAGCUUGUUCUUUCUUUUCAGUGCAAAUAUCGACGGUGGUGUGUGUUGGGUUGGGUUGUGGUCAGCCGAGUUGUGUUGGGUCGAGUGUGUUGGUGCAGUAUGCAAACUAGUCUUCCACGUGCUGGUGCCGAGAUGGAGUUCAAUGAAGAGUUUCGGAUAUUCGGGUUUGUCUGGAAUGAUUUCUUCGAUAAUGUCGUCGAGUUGUUCGAGUCCGGAUUGGGCGAUGGCGUGAUUGGCGAGAGUUGUUGCAGCGAACGUGUUGAGUUCGAACCGAGUUCGGACUGUUGUUUCAGUGCUGAGCUGCUGACUUUGUCGGAGGGGUUGUCGAAAAAUCGGUGGUGCGUUGUGAAGUUGUCCCUCGACAAGUUGUCCAAUACCGGGUAACAAAGUGAUGGGUUCGUCGUUGGUGUAGGUUUUGAGGAUGUGCUUCGGUAUUUGGAGUGGGCGCAGGAAUUGGACUUGUGUCGGAACGCUAGGAUUGCUGGGUCGACGAUUGCACAGAAGAUGGGUUCGUUUCGGUAGUGGUGUCGGUUUGUGUCGAGGGCGCUGGUUGAUGUCUCGAACUUGGAGUGGGUGGUCUUGUGCUCGGAGAUGGAGUUUGCCAAUGAAGCUGCUAAGGGCAUUUGCUGAUGAAGGUGCUGGUAGAUUGGAGUUUCUUGUCAAAGAGAGUCGUUGGUGUUCUCCGUCGGUGAUUGGACUUGGAGAUCUCGAGAGAGAGCUUGCAGAUUCUUCAAAAAUCUCCUCUGGAAAGUUUCUGUCUUUACUGCAUUGGGCAGCAACCGCUUGGACGCCGUUGAUCCAUGGUGGCAGUGGCAUUUGCGUGUUGAAUUUGGGCGAAUGUACGAAUUAGGGCGUAUUUUGGGCGAAUUUGGGCAAGAUGGGUAGAUUUCUGGAUCGUUCUUGCUAUCUGCGCACAGAGAAUGGAGAAAAAAAUGGAAGAAUUUGUGAACCUGAAGGGGAAUUCAGAAGCCAUGGUCGCCAAAUGAAGAGGUGAGAAAACUCCUCUUCUCUGGAAAUCUAUUGUUAGUAAGAAAACAAAAGAGAAAAUGGCCCGAUCUCCAAGGGCAGAGAAGAAGCACGAGUAAAAGAAUGCUGUGUAUUGAUAAGAAAAACGAUGGAAUGGAGAUAGGGAUCCAUAAUUUGGAUUCCCCCUUUUGAAAUGCUAGCGGUUUUAACUGCUAGCAUAUACCAUAUGCUGUGCAUGAUUUAAUCUAUGGCUCCGAUGCAGCCCUGGGUUCAAAGUUGGAGUCCCCUGAACCUUGUUUUUGGUUGAGACAGGCCUUCACCGCACUCGUCAAGGAGAAUGAGCAGCUCGUUGUCAAUCAGCUUCGAGGUGUCUGCAUAGCGGACCUCCACGCUCGUGAACGAUCCAGGCGCCAGUAUUUCUUUCACCUCCGCCCAGAGUCACGGGCGUUCGAAAUCCCAGCUGCUUCUCAAUGCACUCGUUCUGAAGCCAGCGCUUCUGUCUCCCCACGGUUGUCAUGACAGUUUCCACUGCCAUGGCUUCUGUAGCAUAUACGUGCAACCUUGUGUAGCUUAGCCUCGAGCUGCUUUUGUAGCAAAGUUAGUCCUUUUUGCCAUGAGAGUGUUCUAGGCCAUUCUUGGCCUAUUAAAAAUGAUCCAGUCGGCUGUUGUUCAUCCCCGACAGAUCCAUUUAAUUGAGCUUCCAGUGUAUCUAACGAGGAUGGAAAGUUUGAGACAAGUCCCUGUAGAAGCUUCCACUGAACGAUCGAUUCUUGCAGCUCCUGCUGGACUUUUUCCCACUGGUGUAGUGAAAGUUCUUACCUUUGCUGUUCCUCCUCGAAUGCUUGAAAUUGUGCUGCUCCUUCAUCAUCUUUAGGACACCCUCUAACUGCGUUGCAGCUCCUCGGCAAGUGAUGUAGGCUGUGAACACAGUUCUAAUCUUUUCACUCUUGCUCAUACCACUGCUCCAAAUGAGUUACCCUGGUGAUCCAAGCGCUCGUCACUCGAAGGUGGAGUUUUUGGGCAAAAACUUCACGAAAGAAAGUCUAUUGCCGCAGCCUUGUCGAGGUAGCAGAGCUUUGGACUGCAGUUGGAAUGACAGCCACCGACGCCUCAUGAAGUAUGUGAGUGGAUAGGUUGCCUCAUGAAGCAUGUGAAUCAGCUCGAUGAAAGCAUAGGCCCAUGGAUUGCUGUUCUGCCCAGGCACAGACACAAGAGCUAGUUUUCCACCAUGAGCGGCGAGCAACGAUUCAGAUAAUUCUAAUGCCAAGAUUCAGGCCAGAAAAUCUCACAAAAUGCAGUCUUGCCUCUUGUGGGGACGAUCCAUCGCCCUCUCAGUAGCGCCAAUGCGAACCUUAAAACGUUUGAGGGGGAACGAGGAGUUCUACCUUUCCAAAAAGUACAGCAUGGCCACCAUGCCAAAGCUGAUCAUCCAUGGGGAACUAGCCACUCCCUCCUUUCGAUUCUACAGCGAAGCACCUUCUCUUCCCGCUUAUUGAAGAGCCAUGGUUCUAAACAAAACUUCGAAGGAUUGCUAAAAAUUUCUAGAACUGCCUUUUUUGCAGCUCAACGGAUUACUUUUCAAAGAAAGGAGUAUAAUUGAAGUCUGAGAAUUUCCAGGAUAAAAAUCCAAUUAUCACAAUCUAAAAGUCACCUGAAAAAAACAUUCAAAAGGUUUUUAUGAGUUACUCAACAAGGAGAAGUUCAAGAAUUUCAAGGUCUCACAUAAGGAACUAGCUAUUAAGUUCUUAGAGAUCAAACUUGAUGAAAUUGUUGAGUUUGAUUAAAUAAAUUGCUUGUACUCACAGAGAGCAUUGCAGAUUGAAGCAUACAAGAGGUAAAAUGAUCAAGAUCUGAUGAUCUUCCAUCGUUAGGAAUUUGAAAAUCAUCGUAACCUGGGUUCUGGCUAAGAGCGCUUGCUUUGAUGGACUUGCAAAGCCUUGUCACGCUCCAAAGCAACCUUGGUUCUCAAGUCCUCGGGAAUCCGAUAGUAGUUGUCGCUAUCCUUGGUGUCCAUCUUCACGGCAAUUUCAUACACCUUUCUCUUGUGAGCAAUCUCCCGCUCCUCCCUCUUGCUUAGCUUCUCGCCCUCAAACAAGAAUUUCUCGUCUAACAAACUGUCUCUGAGCUGCGCCAUUAUUUUUUCUUGCCUAGUCUUGAGAUACUUUUGACGAGAACGAGCCCUCAACGCCUCUAUCAUUCUCCGUUUCAUCUCUUCCUCGUGUUGGGACAUGUCUACCUCCUUCUUUGAAGUGUUCACCAUUUUCUUGCAACCCUAGAACUUGGAAUCCCUUAAAUAGUUUGAUCCUUGCCUUUUGAAGAGAAUAUACUUAGAAUAUGCUCAAGCGUGAAACCAUUAUCAUUUUGGAAAUUAGGGUUCUUCGCAUUUUUUUCUCCUUUUUUGUGGCCAUGGCUCGCUGGCUGCGCAGGCUCAAUCCACUCAUGUCCGCCGCGCAGUCCGAGGCGGCCUCUCCGAUCCCGAUCUCUCCGGCGCUGGCGGCGUUCCGAGAGCGAUUGGCAAGCGAUGCGCCGGAGCUUAAGGAUUUCGUGAGCCAGGGCUCGGGUGUGGAAGGCUACUCGGUGGCGGUGGGGACGCGGGAGGAUCCGCGGCGCAAGCCGGAUUGGAUGAAGCGGAUCAUUCCAGGUGGGGAGAAGUACACGAGGAUCAAAUCGCAGCUGAGGGAGCUCAAAUUGAAUACCGUGUGUGAGGAGGCCAAAUGCCCAAAUAUUGGAGAGUGCUGGAGCGGUGGCGACACGGGCACGGCCACUGCGACGAUCAUGAUCCUGGGGGAUACGUGCACCAGAGGCUGCCGGUAAGCUUUCUUCUUUCUUGCUAGUUUGUUCUUGGAUGCAUUGCUGGUUUGCUGGACAGUAUUGGUUUUUCUUCUUGGUACUCUAGAUCUUUUCUUUCUCAACAUACUAGAUCAUUGCUCCAUUUUUUUAGAUCUUUUCUUUCUCAGCAUACUAGAUCAUUGCUCCAUUGUUUCUUUCUUUGUACUCUUUCUCGACAUACUAGAUCUGGUUUUGUCUUGGUACUCUCUUCUCCAUUGUUUCGUUCUUGGUACUGUUCAACACAUUGUUUUUUUUCUUGGUAGUUUGCUUGCUCUAACUAGAUAACGUUGAGUUCUUCACCAUUGCUAGCUUUCUCUUGCGAUUCCAUGCUGGUUUGCUUUCUGUUUAUUUUGCGUGAAGUUUCAUUGUUAGUUUUUUCCAUUCCUUUGUGAAGCUACUUGUACACUUUUUUUCUUUCUCGUGUUAACAUUUUUCUCGUUCCUGACGUGCAGAUUUUGUGCAGUGAAGACAUCGCGAGCUCCACCUCCACCUGAUGCAGACGAGCCAGCCAAAGUUGCUGAAGCGAUUGCCUCUUGGGACCUCGAGUAUGUGGUGCUCACGAGCGUGGACCGGGAUGAUUUACCCGAUCAAGGAAGCGGGCACUUCGCCGAGACAGUGAGGAGGAUCAAGCAACGCAAGCCGGGCAUGCUGGUUGAGGCCUUAGGUGAGCUUAUGCCAACAUCUGGAGGAACUAACGUCGUCUUCUGUCGCAGUUCCCGACUUUCGAGGCGAUCCCGACUGCGUGGAGAAAGUGGCCACCUCUGGACUGGACGUCUUUGCGCACAACAUAGAAACCGUGCAAGAGCUACAGAGCUCGGUCCGAGACAGGCGAGCAAACUUCCAGCAAUCCAUCAACGUCUUGAAGAUGGCCAAGCUGAAAGGUCCUCGCGGGGUUCUCACCAAGACCUCGAUCAUGCUGGGCUGUGGCGAGACAUCUUCACAGGUUUUGGAGACCAUGGCCAGAGUGAGAGACGCCGGCGUGGACGUGAUGACUUUCGGGCAGUACAUGCGACCGACGAAGAAACACAUGCCAGUGUCCGAGUACGUGACUCCGGAAGCGUUCGAGAACUAUCGAAGAAUCGGAAUGGAAAUGGUACGUUUUCGAAGUUUCGAAGUGUUUUUGGUUUUUUUUUUUUUUGCCAGCUGAAGCGUGACAAUCUCUUUUUCCUUUGUUUCUUACAGGGAUUUCGAUAUGUGGCUUCUGGCCCAAUGGUGAGAUCCUCCUACAAAGCUGGAGAGUUCUACAUCAAAGCGAUGCUCGAUGCAGAUAGAGAGGCAGCGAUGGUUUCAUAGAAAAACAUUAAAGGUAUGAUUCUUUCGCGCGGAGAUUGAUUCCGAUUUAACACAAGCCGUCGGAUUCUCCACGUCACCGAUUCCCGCGGCGGAGGAUCGUGCGGCCUAGCGGCGCCCCUCCAGAUCCGCCGCUUGGCCUCUUCCUCUUCGAGUGUAACUCUUGGCCACUUUGGCCAAAGAGUCGAGCUCUUGAAGAGGAGGAGGAGGAAGAACUUGGGCGAUCGAACAAACGAAGUAGAAGAUCAUGGCUCGACGGAGGAAGAGCCGGAGCCGGAGCCGGGGUGGCAAGAAAAUCCGCGUGCCAAAGAUGAAACUCGCGGUGCGCGAUGCUCUGGCGUCGCUCAAAGCCAAGAGAGGUGUCACAGCUGCGGCGGUGGCCCGGAAGAUCAAGAAGAAGUAUGGAAACGAUCUCCCCAAGCGCUUCCAGGCCCAGGUGGGGCGAUCGCUGCGCGGGCUGGUCCGAGCGGGGCGGCUGGAGCGUGUGCGCGGCCGCUUUGCGGUGGCCACUGGCAAGAGUGGACGAGGCGGGCGACGUAAAAGAGGUGGACGGUCGAGAUCGAGAUCGACGUCGCGGAAGGGCGGGCGGCGCCGCCGCCGCCGGGGUGGACGGCGAUCGCGAUCGCGGUCGCGGUCGAGGAAGGGCGGGCGGCGCCGCCGGCGUCGCAGACGCCACUAGAAAAUGGUGCGGGCGCAUAUUCCUUUGACUCGUUGGUUAUUUUUGUGGUUCUUUUACGUGUUUGUGGAGGUUUUUGGUGCAGGAAUCAGAGACGCAUUCGAUGAUGAGAUCCAUGACAAGAACAUCCUUUAAUUUUUUCGAAAAUGCCACUAUUUGACGAAUAAAAUUUUGAGAUUAGAUCCGACCUCGAGCUUCUUCCUAAUUUCUUCUUUAGCUCCUCCCACUUUUUUUUUAUCCAAGCCCGCCCCAUCCGUUUGGAAGUUCCGCUCUAAAUCCAGCAACGAAUUCAUUAGUUUUCGCCUUGCAUUGCAGCAAGAAAGGGAAGCAAAUCAUCGGACAGUCGACAUGGGCUUUUCCAGCGAAGUAGGUCGUCUCGCGAGCCGACUCUGCGCACUAGACAAUUACACACAGUGUUUCGAAUUAGAGUUUUCAUGAAGAACUUGCAAACUUUGGACUGGGCUGGUGCUUGAAAGGAAAAAAGUAGAAAAAAUGAUUGUGAUUUCAAUGGACCUCAUGUCGUCCAGUGUCUGCUGGCAUUUCAGGUAAUGAAAAGACGACGUUUAACUUUGAAGCAGCGAACUCUAUCUACGACUAUGUUCCAGCGCUUCUACUGCAGAUCCCACUUCAUUGCGACCAAAGAAGUGGCAGCGUCCAAGGACUGGUAUCCAGGGAUGAGUUCACAAGCACGGAAAGACUUGAAAUUGUAACCACCAUUUGAAGAACCCAUCAUCUGGUAAGAAGCUGCAAGGAUGAUCCCUCUGCGACUAAGGCGUCUGCUGUGGUUAAAUUGGAGUUUCGAACGUCCAAGGAGAGUACUGGUAGUCUACACCAGAUCCGAUCUGGCUCAUUUGGUUCGUAUGAAUACUGGACGGCGUGCUUGAAUGACGUCUCUGGGUACAUUCUGGAAAACGAGGCUUAUUACAUUGAUUCAAGGAAAUUUUGACCUAGUUAAAGAAAAUUAGAGGGAUUGUAGAAUUAUAAAUUUUUAUUAGAGAUUAUUAUUUAAAAUAAAAUGUAUUUUUUAUAAUAGUAAGAUAGAAUUGGCUGAAGUAAGAACAGUAUAAAAAAUAGUUGUGUGUAUACAGAAUUUUAUAAUAACUGCAAGCAAGGUGAUUUAAGUUUUUAUGGAAGUAAAAUUGCAUUUUAUGGUAUAUUUGGUAGUAAAUACAAAAAUAUUUUUCUGUUAUAUAGUUUUUUUGGGGUUUAAAAUCUAAAUGUAAUAUAAUAAGAAUACAGUCAAUUUAAACUAUUAAAACUCACUAUAUAGUAUUCAGAAAUAUUACUUGAUAGGCUGAUAUAACAUUUGAAAUUUUGCCUAAUUUUCAAACAUUUCAGAGUGAUUUUUUCUAAAUGUAAUGUUCUAUUUAUUCUUUUAUAAUUAUAUAUAAAUAUAUUCUUAAACAGCUCAGUUCUAUGCAAGUUGAUGAGAUCCCUUAAAAUAUUAACUAUCCAAUUAAUAGGAAGCUAGAACUUCUUACAUCUUAAGAAUUUAAUGAACCAUUGUACUUUCUAAGAUUUCCUCACCAAUCAAAUUAAUCUAAUGCUUUGUGAUCCUUUUUAUAAAGUCAUUUUCUUUGUAAUAAUCAAAUGUGCAUAUUUAUUAUCAAAAUAUAUUGAACAAUAACCAGCUGUUUCUUGAUUAAAAUGUAAAACUUACGUAUCUUUUUGUUAUGUGUGUGUACUUUAUUACUUCAUAUUAAAGCAUCUAUUUAAUUCUAUGUAGGCCAGAAUAGACGGAUUCUUUGUUAGUCUCUAUAUAUAACUUAAAUAACAAAAGCACAUUUUAAAUAUAUACUCUGAAUAUCUAUUAAUAUUGCUGCACGGAUUCUUUUGUACUCUUUCUCUUUCUCCAGCUUCCCUCCACUUGCUCGGCUUGUUUGUUCAGGGAGCAUUUCCUCCCUUCUCAUCUCUCUUUUGCUGAAUUGGAGAGUUCUUAUGGGACAAAUCCUGACCCUUAUCUUACUUAAGAAUAUGCGUGGUAUAAAGGUUAGCGUUUGAGGGUUGCAUCAGUGAGAUCGAUUCGAUUGAUUCUCCCGCCUGCCAGGUAAUCGAUCGCCAAGCUCGGUCGCUCAUGGAAACCUAAUUAUUUGUGCCGCCCAGACUGUGGUCGCGCAUCGGAGCUACAUCUUGUUCCAAAGCUCUUCUCAAGGCCCUCUUUGAUUGCAUUGCUUCGUUCCUCCAGAUAAGGGAUUAAACGUAUCUUAAACGUAUCUUUUCAAUACAGUAGGGACAAGAACAGCUACCUGUGGGUUCUAGACAUUUCCUUUUUGAGGAUGAAGGCUUACGACGGCAGCAGUAGCAACGGGCAGCACAAGAAGGCCUACGGCGGCAGCAGCAACGGGCAACACAAUGUGUUCACAAAGGAAAAGCCCAAGGAGGUGGACAUUUUUGCAAUCGAGAACCCUGCUGAACGCAGGCGAGCAAGGUAAGCAAGACUGAGUUUGAUCUUUACUUGCUUUUGUUUGUAACAGGUACGAGAUCAUAGGAACUCAUCGUCCGGGUGAGGAGGAGGGCUUACUCGUCGACCAAUGCAGAAGAUGUAAGCAGAGAGGCCAUUGGGAAAGACACUGCAAGGGGGUAAGAAAGCUCAAUUAUUUCCCAGAUUUGACUUUUUGUUUCUUCUUUUAGCCUGGAGUGGAUCCUUUUGCUCAUGAACAAAAGAAAUGCUACCUCUGCCUAGUGAAGGGACACGAUACUUAUCAAUGUUCAAGAGAUCCCCUGCGAAAUGAGGACUGGGCAGAGAGGACUUACACUGGACCAAUGAAGAGACUUCGUCUUCAGGUUUGUAUCAGUUUCUAUUCUCUGUUUCUUUGUAUGUUUAUUUGUGUACGUUUUCAGGUGGGUUAUAUCGUUCAGGUAGCAGACUUCCCGCAAUACCAUCCUCGUUUCUGCGUCCAACGGAUUGAAUACGAAAACCUCAAACGGAUCUGCAAAAAACAUCCAGACUUGGGAAUCAUGGUUGUGCCUGAGCCACCCUGUCCUCUUGCGGCCCUUAUCUGGGAAUAUUUUCAGCGACUGGAUGAAGUUUUAUACGAAGCAGGCCUAGGCUUCGAGUUUUACAGAUCCGAUGAAGAAGUGCCUCCAGGGUAUGACCGGUAUGCGGCUGCAGAAGAAGCAUAUAUUGAAGAAUUGAAAAAUGAAGCGAAGCAUUGAAAGGUGAUGAAGUAAUAGAAUAAGUAUUAUAGAUGAGAAGACCUUUAUAAGUUAUUUUUCGUUUUCAUUGAUGGGAUACUUUUCGUUUUCAUUAAAACUAGCUAAUGUUUAUGUUUUAAACUAGUUUAACGCCUAGAGAGAUAAAAAGAAGGUUCUUUCUGGGAGAGUGAAGAACUCCUCCUUCCCGCUCAAGCGUUUUAGGGUUCGCAUUGGCGCUGCGGAGCUGGAAGCGGCGGGCGCUGGAUCGUCCCCACAAGAGGCAAGACUGCAUUUUGCGAGAAAUUUCUGGCCUGAAUCUUGGCGUUGUUGGCAGUAGAAUCGCCGAAAUCUUUGCUCGCCGCUUCCCUGGUAGAAAUCUGGUGCUUUUGUGUCUGUGCCUAGGCAGCGCAGCGAUCCAUGGGCCUACGCUUUCAUCGAGCUGGAGAGGUCGCCGCCGGAUGAGGCGUUGGUGCCUGAAACGAAGCUGGUGUUGCGCCAUCAUUCCAGCCGCGGUCCAAAGCUUUGCUACCUCGACAAGGCCGCGGACAUUGGUCGCUUGAGGAGCUGCGACGCAGUAGAGGGUAUCCUAAAGACGAUGAGGGAGCAGCACGAAAGCAUUCAGAGGAGGAACAACAAAGUUAAGAACUUUUCACUACACCAGUGGGACAAAGCCGAGCAGGAGCUGCAAGAAUCGAUCGUUCACUGGAAGCUGCUACAGGGACUCGCCUCGACGUUUACAUCCUUCAUCCUUCAAAAUAUACGAGCUAAUCAGGUACCAACCACAAGCUUUUUUGUUAUCUUGGUUUCAUCGCAUUAAACUAUGAACACUGCUACAGGUCACUGUGCUGAUUGGUGAGACUGGCUCUGGGAAGAGCACUGGACUCAUGCAGUAUUUAUGUGAUGGUGGUUUAUCGAGCAACGGGAAUUUCCAUCGUUUGUACACAGCCAAGGAAAGUAGCAGUAUUUGCUCUUGCACGACGGGUUGCCGAAGGAUGCCGCUGAGAAGACGAAUUCCAUUGGCCUCUUGGAAUACAGGGCUCAACAAGACCUUGCCAAAAUGGUACGGAUUUACUCCUAGCAGUGCUGAAGGAAUGUUUACGCGCACUUGAGAGUCAUCGUUAUGUCAGCUACAGCCGAUGCCGAGCUUUUCGUUCCUGGAAGGAAUUUCCCAGUUGAGAUCCACUACGAACAGCACGAGACUUCAACCACAUAACAAGGACAAUGGAAAGAGUUUGCGAGCUUCACAAGGAGGCCGAUUGAGGGAGAUAUAUUGGCUUUCCUCACGGAUAUCGAAUGGGUCUGCCAGUGAUUGGCAAAUACGCCGCAUGCACUUGUGCUGCCUCUUCAUGGAAGGCUUCGUCAAGAGGAUCAGCAACUGGUAUUCGAGGCGGCACCACCUGGUACGGGAAAGAUGGUCUUUGCAACAAAUAUCGCCGAGACGUCUUUGACGAUGCCAGGAAUCAGGUACUUCAAAGUUCUUUUACGAUAAUCUUCCUUGAAGCAUGUAGCUGAUACUCGCUUUCUCGGCUUCUAGGUACGUGGUGGAUCCAGGAUUGUCAAAGCAAGCCAUCUUUGAUCCACAGACUGGGAUGACAACGCUGGAGCUUACGGCAAUCAGUCAAAGCCGCGACUCAAAGAGCUGGUCGUGCAGGGCGCACUAGUUCUGGUGUCUGCUACAGAUUGUACAGCGAUGAAGACUUUGACGACAAUGCUCUGGUGGGGACUUCGGAAAUUUCCCGUUCUCACAUGGGGAUUAUCAGGCUCCUGGCACUAGGCGGAUGAUGAAGUGAAGAACUGGAGGCUCACGAAAAACUGGCCAAGAUAGGAGUGGAGCCACGGCUAGGCAAGAUCAUCCUCAACAGCCAGGCUCACUGUUGUGGUCGAGAAGUCAGUACCCUGUGAUGACCAUCUUCUUCCGAGCCGGCUCUGAAGAAGCAAGCUCCUGGCAGACCGCCGGAAGAUGCGCUGCUGUCAUCGGCAUGGAGACCUGUUCAGCCUCUUGGACGUGUACCGGGAAUGGAGCAGCAAGCACGGCUGAUAGCGACAACGAAAUGAAGAAGCGCGGAUAACACAGUUGACUUUGAAGGUAUGCUACUACUCUUCAUUCAUGUUCAAGCAGGAAACCACUUUGUGAAGGUAUCUCCCAAGGCGUAUGGUACGAAGCGAAUCGAGAUCUCGUCCUGGAGCUUGCAAAGGCAGCUCUAGAUAAACUGGUGGAAGGCGCUCCUUUUGAAGACGGCCUGCUGGACGAAGCUGCAAUGAAUGCAACCAGAAGGAGCGACAGAUCUCACUGACGUCCACUUGGGAUGAUGAGAGUUCUGGUUGGAAAAUCCGGGGUCGACUUAGCCGGGCUGGAAAAAUCAGUGGGAGCUCCAGUGGCAUUCCUUGUACGUACAUGGGGACGAGGAAUGCGUGGAGAAAGCAAAGCAGGAAGCAGCGUCCUGGAAGAACGAAGCAACCCAGCAGUGGCAGCGAUCGUCAACGAGUGCAAGCUCAGGCUGUCAGGAGGUGUUCCUCGCCGUCGACUUCGCGGCCUUGCUCAGCAAAUGGACGAGCUGUGCAAAGCUUCCGUGGGAGUUUGCGUGGCCACGAGCGGGGGAGCCACAGGUCCGGACUGCGAAAGCUCAUCAGCGAUCUUUGUCUAGAGAGCUUACUAGAGAUUGAAGCAAAAAGAUAAGUAGUUUGCUAUAUAUAGCAUUAGGUUUACUGAGCCCUCUUCAGCGACGACACAAUGGAGGAGGCUGCUUUGGAGUUGCUGCGGUUCUACGUUUCUCACUUCGAUCUUCCCACAGUGAGAAUAGCUCCUGUAAAGAAGCAAAACGCACGCAGGCAGGAGUUCAUAAAAUGGCAUUCUAGUGCCCAAUCUUUUCGUUUGAUGGGCCUUCUCCCCAAGGAGGAACUUCCUCCUGAUUUGCGACGCUUUGGGUUUGAUACUUCUCCGGAGGCUCCACCGCCCACAAGGGCACCACGCCCUGUGGCGCCUACUUGCUGGGGUCGUUCACGACCCGAGUACGAGCGCCUCAAGGCUGCAUAUGACACAAGAGUGCAAGCGAUGGAAGACAUGUAUCGUGCGGCAAGGGAUGCCUGGGAUGUUCAACACCGAAAUAGAGUCCGCCAGCAAGCUGUUGUUUCAAGGUUCAGGGCUCUUAUUGAGAGCCACAGAGGGGCACCUCAGUUGCACGCGCUAGGUGCUUCUUUCCAACAUAGUGGCAAGGUGGAGACUCGUUUUGAUGGUCUCUACGUGGUUGUGGAUGGUGGGGAAAGGUUCCUCUGUCUUACUCCAGAAGAGAUCUUCCCUAGUGGUGUGCAGGAGAUCCCUUUGUUUGGGAUAUGCAGGAUUGGCGACAUUAAUCAUCAAUUUUAUUCCUUGGCUAUGUCGAAAUUCGAGGUAGGUCAUCUGGUGAAGUAUCCAGAUUACAUACGAGAGUACCCACACGGCAUACCAUAAAUGCUCCCUCUCUACUGUCAACUAUGAAUUGUUCUGUGGUAAUAAAAGUAUAAUAAAGCUAAUGUUUCAAUAUAAAAUGUAAACAGUAAAGAAUAAUGUGUCCAUUUUAGUUGAUAGAAAAUUGCUAUAUCACUUUCUUGCCCAAGAGAAAUCUGAAAUGAGCAAUCAAGCACAUAGAGGAAUGGAACUGGCUUGCGUGUGUGUGAUAGUGUGUGCCACACUUGGCACGCACACGCUGGACGAAAUGGGAGACAAAGACCUCCUCCUAGAGCUCUCCAUAAAGAAAUUCUGUCUUCACAUCGAGCUAGUGAGCUACUUGUCCUAAUGUGCAUUUGAAGUCUGAGAAUCGCAUGGACACAAAUAUUUUGCAGCAGUAGCUGAACUCUGUCAAGCAGGCUCUUCUCCAUAGGCAAAACAAUGGCGUGCAGCUAUGGAGGAGGAGUACCAUUCGCAGCAGGCAGGAAGGAGGGUGGUCAGCACGAAUGCUGUUCAGGCUCAAGCUUGAUGCUGCUGAGGUGCUGCGCUACAAAGAUUGCUUUGUAGCAAGAGGACUUUCCCAGGUGGCAGGAGUUGAUUUCUCAUAAACAUUUCCUCUAGGUGCAUUUUGGAAAACUUGUCAUGGUGAGGCUUACAAUCUCCAAUCUUCCACUGUGCAUUAGAUCUAAUAAGUGGAAAGGAGAUUUUGACCUAGUUCAUCAGCAUAAAGUAAAUUAGAGGGAUUGUUAUAAAUGUUUAUUAGAGAUUACUAUUAAAAAGAAAAUGUAUUUUUUUAUACUAGUAAGGAUAAUUUGCUACGCGUUGCAUGUAAGAACGCUUGGUUUGCUUAAUUACUACUUAUUAAUCCAAUUGAUCAAAUAAAAAAUUAGAAUUAUAAAAAUAUUUAUAAUUUAUAAAUACAUGCUAUCAACCAUUAGAUGGUAGAAUAAAAAAGAAUAUACUAGAAAGCGUUUAAGAAAGUUUAUAAAUUAUAAACAUGGUUAUAAAUCAUAAAUACAAGAUUAAUCUAAAUAAAUAACAACCAUUGGAUGGUAAAAUAUCCUAGAAUAUCCAAGAAUAUUCUAAAUAUAUCCACUACCAUCCCAGUCCCUUUACAGGUUUGCUUAAGCAAACCAAAAAAUAGUUAUGUUUACAAAAUUUAAUAGUAACUGCAACCAAGGUGAUUUAAGUUUUUAUGGAAGCAAAAUUGCAUUUAUGGUAUAUUGGGUAGUAAAUACAGAAAUAGUUUUUCUGAUAUAUAGCUUUUUUGGGUUUAAAAUUUAAAUGUAAUACAAUAUGAAUGCAGUCACUUUAAGCUAUAAAAAGUCACUGUAUAGUAUUUAGAAAUAUUACUUGAUAGGUUGAUAUAACAUUUGAAGUUGUUCUUAAUUCUCAAACAUUUCAGAGUGAUUUUAUCUAAAUCUAAAGUUCCAUUUGCUAUUUUAUAAUUAUGUAUAAAUAUUUUCUUAAACAGCUCGAUUCUAUGUAGGUCGUUGAUUAGAUGCCUUCAAAUAUUGACCAUCCAAUUAAUAACAUAUUUCCUAACCACAGAACAAAAAAUAGAGCGUUAUUGUAUUGGAAUGCCAAACUGGAAAUAGAUAUGGAGCAUUAUAAAAGUAAAAUAAAAUAUAAAAACAUUAUUUCUAUGCAUGUAUUAAUUUAUAUAAAGCAUUUUAAAGGUCUAGUUAGACUAUAGUCAAUAUUUAUAAAUUUUUUAAUUAGAAAAAUUAUAAUACAAUAAAUUUUAUAUAUAUAUAUAUAUAUAUAUAUAUAUAUAUAUAUAUAUAUGUAUAUAUAUAUGUAUGUAUGUAUGUAUGUAUGUAUAUGUAUAUAUUCUAUUUUGUUGUUUACUUCUUAGCAAAUUGGGCCCAAACUGUCUGGAAGGGGUAUAGUCCUUAUAAAACUUAAAUACAACAAACCAUAAUUGCUGCAAAGCAGUAUAAUUUUUUAAAUAUAAAAGUCCAACUUUUAAUGAUAUAUAUCUUAAAGCUAUAAAGAAAUAUAAAUAUGAUUUUUAUUUUAGAUUCCCAUGUCUAACACCAAGUUUGUACAUACUCUUUGUUCCACCUAGNNNNNNNNNNNNNNNNNNNNNNNNNNNNNNNNNNNNNNNNNNNNNNNNNNNNNNNNNNNNNNNNNNNNNNNNNNNNNNNNNNNNNNNNNNNNNNNNNNNNNNNNNNNNNNNNNNNNNNNNNNNNNNNNNNNNNNNNNNNNNNNNNNNNNNNNNNNNNNNNNNNNNNNNNNNNNNNNNNNNNNNNNNNNNNNNNNNNNNNNNNNNNNNNNNNNNNNNNNNNNNNNNNNNNNNNNNNNNNNNNNNNNNNNNNNNNNNNNNNNNNNNNNNNNNNNNNNNNNNNNNNNNNNNNNNNNNNNNNNNNNNNNNNNNNNNNNNNNNNNNNNNNNNNNNNNNNNNNNNNNNNNNNNNNNNNNNNNNNNNNNNNNNNCUUUACAUGAGUGUAAACACCAGCAAUAUAUAUAUAUACACAUCAUUGAAUUCUACAUUGUCUACACAUGGACCUAUAUAUAGGUUGAAAGCAUCAAUAUGUUUUGCAAUUAGGAAAAAAUGUAUGUUUUAGAAAUAAAUAUGCUUAGUAAAAUGGAUUUAUGUUCCUCUAUAAUGUUCCAUUUAACUUUUCUACCCGGUCAAACUCUAGUUGACUGUUUAUUUUAGUUUAUUGGUCUUUUAGCAUAAAUAUUGCAUUGAGAAGACAAAAAACAAAAACUCAAAAGGAAUCAAUUGUAAAUUACAAGUAAACGUAUCAGUCUAUAGGUAAAAUUCAAAAAUAAUAUGCAUUGCUUUUUCUAAAAGCCAGAUAAUAAUUCUGUGUGUGUAUUUUACUAUUCAUUCUAAAUUUUUUUAUAAAAUUAAAACAUCUAUUUAAUUUUAUUUAGACCAGCAUAGACUCUAUAUGUAACUUAAACCACAAUAGCAUAUUUUAAAUAUAUACUCUGAAUAUCUACGAAUAUUGCUGCUGGAUUGUGGAUAAAAUAAACCUUUAAGUGGAUUCUUUUGUACUCUUUCUCUUCCCUCCACUUGCUUGGCUAGUUUGUUCGGGGAGCAUUUACUCCCUUCUCAUCUCUCUUAAGAUUACUAUAGUUGCUGGGACAAAUCCUGGCCGUUCGUUUGAUAUGCAACUUCAGAAUAUGCUUGGUAUAAAGUUAAAAAUUUGUGUUAUAAGAAUAUAAAAAUUUAAUCAUACGUGUGUGUCAUUUACUCAGUUUUUUAAAAAGUAAAUUGAAACUAUAACUUAAUUAUCAUCCAAAAAUUAUUCAUCUCUAAGUUUUGUAAAUACAUGUGUAUAUAUAUAUGUAUUACCCUGCCUAGAUUAUACACUAAUUAUAGUACUAAAACUUAUGGAUUAUCCAUUUAAGACUGAAUUUGGUCCAUCCAUUUUUGAAUAUAAGAAAAGGUUUAAACCCCAAUUAAUAUAUUUAUUAAUGUAUCCCGAACACUCACAAUUUAUAUUUUUAUCAUUUUUAAUUUUUAAAAAUAUUAUAAGAUGAAAUAAUUUUCAAUUAUUAAGUAAUAGAAGGUAGAUCAUUACCAUUUAUGCGGCUUACUUAAUUUUUACACACACACACACACACAUUACCAUUUAUGUGGCUUACUUAAUUUUUACACACACACACACACACACAUAUAUUAUGUGUGUGUGUGUGUAAAAAUUAAGUAAGCCGCAUAAAUGGUAAUUUUAGCCGUUGGAUCUACCUUCUAUUACUAUCGUUGCUGGGACAAAUCCUGGCCGUUCGUUUGUAAUGCAACCUAAGAAUAUGCUUGGUAUAAAGGUUAGCGUUUGAGGGUUUCACCAGAAAAGUAAGGUAAUCUCGAGAUCGAUUGCAUCCUCCAGGUAUCGCCCAGCCGAUCGAUUCUCCCGCCAGACAGGUAAUCGAUCGCCAUGGGGUGGAAGCUCGGUCGCUCAUGGAAACCUAAUUAUUUGUGCCGCCCAGGCUGUGAUCGCGCAUCGGAGCUACAUCUUGUUCAAAGCUCUCCUCUCCGCCGUAGGCCCUCUUUGAUUGCAUUGCUUAGGUAAGGGAUCUUCGAUAAACAGGAUGAAUUAAAGCUCGCAUCUUUUCAAGAACAGGGUAUAGCUACCUGUGGGCUCUGGAGAUUUCCUUUUUGAGGAUGAAGGCUUACAGUAGCAGCAGCAACGGGCAGCACAAGAAGGCUUACAGCGGCAGCAGUAGCAACGGGCACUACAGCAAGGCUUACGACGGCAGCAGUAGCAACGGGCAGCACAAGAAGGCCUACGGCGGCAGCAGCAACGGGCAACACAAUGUGUUCACAAAGGAAAAGCCCAAGGAGGUGGACAUUUUUGCAAUCGAGAACCCUGCCGAACUCAUACGAGCAAGGUAACCGAGAUUGAGUUUGAUGUUUACUUGCUUUUGUUUGUAACAGGUACCAGAUCAUAGGAACUCAUCGUCCGGGUGAGAAGGAGGGAUUACUCAUCGACCAAUGCAGAAAAUGUAAGGAGAGAGGCCACUGGGAAAGACACUGCAAGGGGGUAACAAAGCUCACGAAUUUUCCAGAUUUGACUUUUUGUUUCUUCUUUUAGCCUGGAGUGGAUCCUUUUGCUCAUGAACAGAAGAAAUGCUACCUCUGCCUAGCGAAGGGACACGACACGUAUCAGUGUUCAAGAGAUCCCCUGCGAAAUGAGGACUGGGCAGAGAGGACUUACACUGGACCAAUGAAGAGACUUGAUCAACAGGUUUGUAUCAGUUUCUAUUCUCUGUUUCUUUGUAUGUUUAUUUGUGUACGUUUUCAGGUGGGUUAUAUCGUCCAGGGAGCAGACUUCCCGCAAUACCAUCCUCGUUUCUGCGUCCAACGGAUUGAAUACGAAAACCUCAAACGGAUCUGCAAAAAACAUCCAGACUUGGGAAUCUUCAUUGUGCCUCGGCCACCCUGCCCUCUUGCAUCUCAAAUCUGGGAAUAUUUUCAGCGACUGGAUGAAGUUUUAUACGAAGCAGGCCUAGGCUUCGAGUUUUACAGAUCCGAUGAAGAAGUGCCUCCAGGGUAUGACCGGUAUGCAGCUGCAGAAGAAGCAUAUAUUGAAGAAUUGAAAAAUGAAGCGAAGCAUUGAAAGGUGAUGUGUUUUAAUAAAGUAAUAGAAUAAGUAUUAUAGAUGAGAAGACCUUUAUAAGUUAUUUUUCGUUUUCAUUAAAACUAGCUAAUGUUUAUGUUUAAAACUAGUUUAACGCCUAGAGAGACAAGCAGGAAACCACUUUGUGAAGGUAUCUCCCAAGGCGUAUGGUACGAAGCGAAUCGAGAUCUCGUCCUGGAGCUUGCAAAGGCAGCUCUAGAUAAACUGGUGGAAGGCGCUCCUUUUGAAGACGGCCUGCUGGACGAAGCUGCAAUGAAUGCAACCAGAAGGAGCGACAGAUCUCACUGACGUCCACUUGGGAUGAUGAGAGUUCUGGUUGGAAAAUCCGGGGUCGACUUAGCCGGGCUGGAAAAAUCAGUGGGAGCUCCAGUGGCAUUCCUUGUAUGUACAUGGGGACGAGGAAUGUGUGGAGAAAGCAAAGCAGGAAGCAGCGUCCUGGAAGAACGAAGCAACCCAGCAGUGGCAGUGGCAGUCGACGCAGCCCAAUCGUCAACGAGUACAAGCUCACUUUUGCCAACGAAGGCUGCCAGCAGGGUGUUACUCGUCGUCGACUUUGCAGCUUUGCUCAGCAAAUGGACGAGCAAAUGGACGAGCUGUGGGAGAGAUAAAGCAAAAAGAUAAGUAGUUUGCUAUCUAUGAUGGAGGAGGCUGUUCUGAAAUAGCUGUGGUUCUACACCUUCCACUUCAAUCUUCCCACUCAAUAGAAUUCAUAUGGAAGUAAAAUGCUCACAGGUAAGAGUUCAUAACAUAACAUUUUAGUGUUAGUCUUUUAGUUUGAUGAGCAUUUUCCCCAAGGAUGAAUUUCUUCCAAUGCUAUGGGUUCGACACUUUUAUUGAGUUGCCACCACCGACAAAGGCACCAUAUUUUAUAGCACUUAUUUGCUAGGGUUGUUCAUGAUAUGAGUAUAAGGUUGCUGACAACACAAGGGUGCAAGCGAUUGAAGAUGUAUAUCAUGUAGCAUCAUGAUGUGUAUCAUGAUGUGUAAGAUUUUCAACAUCAAGAAAGAGUCUACAAGCAAACAAUUGUAUUGAGCUUCAAGGCUUUUAUUGAGAGUUACAUAUCAUAUUAGGUGCUACUUACUAACACUUUGGUGUUGAACAUCUUAUAUAUCUUUUGCAACAUGAUAUGCAUUUUCAAUCGCUUGCACCCUUGUGUUAUAAAUAGUUUUGAAGAGCUCAUAUUCAAGUCAUGGACAACCCCAAUAAAUAAGCACCACAGGGUGUAAUGCCUUUGUGAGCAGUGGUACCUUUAGAGAAAUAUUAAACCCAUAGUAUUGUAAAUUAGGAGGAAGUUUCUUUUUAGGGAAAAUGCUUAAAAGAUUAAACAUUAGAAUGCUAUAUUAUGAAUUUUUGCCUGCGAGCAUUUUGCUUUCUUAUUCUUACUAUGGGAAGAUCAAAGUGAAAAAUAUAAAAACAUAGUAAAUCCAAAACAGCUUCCUCCAUCGAGUUAAGAGGGCUACAUCGCUUAAACCUAAUACUAUAUAUAACAAACUACUUAUCUUUUGACAUUUUAGCUUGCGGAAGAUUUGCACAACUUGUCCAUUUGUUGAGCAAAGCUGCAAAGUUAACGACAAGGAACACCUCUUGGUAACUGUCAACAGCAUGAGUGUUGACAAUCUAGCAUAAACACACUGGACAAUCCUUUGCUCCUUCGACUGCCACUACUGGAUUACUUCAUUCUUUUGCUUCCUUCCUGCUUUGCUUUCUCCACGCAUUCGCUUCUAUCAUGAUACCUUUACAAAGAAUGAAGAGUAGUAGCAUACCUUCAAAGUCAACUGUGUUAUCCGCACUUCUUCAUUUCUUUGUCGCUAUCAGCCGUGAGUAAAGUAUAGACGGGAAUGCUGACGAGCACCGAGCCCCAAAACUCAGUUUUGUAAAUUGGGAGUCGUAAAUCAGGAAUCGGGAGGCUAGCAAGAGCACGCGCUGCAGCGUCGUGAUCAUUCCUGAUCCAAGCUCUGGCCGACAAGCCUCUGAACGCAUCAAUCACCUCGACCUCAAACUUGUCUGUUCUGGCACCAAGACCCGCUGGUACUCACUUGCAGAGCGUUCACCCACGGCUUUCCCAUGAAGCACGAUAACCUUUGUCAUCUUCUUCCCACUCAAAGCCUGUGCAGUGCCAUUGUGUCACUUAUCAACGCUUGAACCAAGCCCGACUGGCUUCCCGAGAACAUGAAAUUCCCACAGCUUUUACUGCCUCCUGGCUGCCAUGGGAGAGUUCUUGCUUCACUUUCUCAGGAUCCAGAUCAAGGUCGGUGAAGCCGGAGAUGAACACACCGGACUGUGAGCGCUGGCUGACUUUACAUGUGACAUAUGAGCCCCAGACGACUUUUCCUGUACAUGAAAGUAUCACAGCAUCGAUGUCUCCAGGAUCGCACNNNNNNNNNNNNNNNNNNNNNNNNNNNNNNNNNNNNNNNNNNNNNNNNNNNNNNNNNNNNNNNNNNNNNNNNNNNNNNNNNNNNNNNNNNNNNNNNNNNNCUUUCCGUCACGGGAGUGAUAAGCAGACUAUUGCCGGCCUUGAAAGUGUCACAUUGUGCGUCUUGGACCCCAGUUUCAGCGCAAGUUGGGCAGAAGCUCACGACUCUGUCUGAGGUGACGCUCCAAAAAACUUGUGGAUGCCUUCACCGCACUCGUCGAAGAGAAUGAGCAGCUCGUUGUCAACCAGCUUCGAGGUGUCUGCAUAGCGACACGCUCGUGAACGAUCCAGGCGCCACUAUCUCUUUCACCAUUCCGGCAGACCCGAUCAGAGUCACGGGCGUUCGAAAUCCCAGCUGAAGCCAGCGCUUCUGUCUCGCCACGGUUGUCAUGACAGUUUCCACCGCCAGACGCUGCAUGCAUAAGCUCGUUCAUGCGACUCUCGAUCCUGGACCUUGUGUGGCUGCUCGAGCUAGUCUGCUCUGGUUUUUGCCGCAAACUCUAGCCAAGAUGGUCGUCACAGGUGAUAUCGGAGUACUGACUUCUCGACCACAACAGUGUGCCUAGCCAUGGUUCCACUCCUAUCUUGGCCAGUUUUAAUCCGAAGUUCGUGAGCCUCCAGUUCUUCACUUCGUCAUCCUUAGCUAUGGCUUCCAGCCGCUGCAAACUCGUCAUUGCGUGACUGAUAGCACUGGCGCUGGGAGGCUCCACAAAGUCGAAGUUUUCCACGUCUUGUACGCCUAGUGCCAGAAGCUUGAGAACUACUAUCCCCAUGUGAGAACGGGAAAUUUCAGAAGUCCCCAGCAAAGCCAUGUCGUCAAAGUCUUCAUUGCUGUACAAUCUGUAGCAGACACCAGAACUAGUGACCAGCUCUUUGAGUCGCGGAGCUUUGACUGAUUGCCGUAAGCUCCAGCGUUGUCAUCCCAAUCUGUGGAUCAAAGAUAGCUUGCUUUGAGAAUCCUGGAUCCACCCGAGAAAGCGAGUAUCAGCUACAUGCUUCAAGGAAGAUUAUCAUAAAAAGAACUUUGAAGUACCUGAUUCCUGGCAUCGUCAAAGACGUCUCGGCGAUAUUUGUUGCAAAGACUAUCUUUCCCGUUAUCUUUCCCGUACCAGGUGGUGCUGCCUCGAAUACCAGUUGCUGAUCCUCUUGACGAAGCCUUCCAUGAAGAGGCAGCACAAGCAAUCAUUUGUAGAACCAUUCGAUAUCCGCCUGGGACGUGAGGAAAGCCAAUAUAUCUUCCUCAAUCGGCCUCCUUGUGAAGCUCGCAAACACUUUCCAUUGUCCUUGUUACGUGGUUGAAUUCUCGCGUAGUUCGUAGUGGAUCUCAACCGGGAACUUCCUUCCAGGAACGACAAGUGGUGCUUGUUCGAUGCCGCUAAAAAGCUCAGCAUCGGCUAUAGCUGACAUGACGAUGACUCUCAAGUGCACGUCAACAUUCCUUCAGUACUGCUAAGAGUAAAUCCGUGCUCGUCCACGACAAUGCAGCUGAAUUGGUCGAGAUUUCGAGCCGAAAGAUAGUAUGUGAUCCGUGCUGUAGACCAUUUUGGCGAAGUCUUGUUGAGCCCUGUAUCCCAAGAGGCCAAUGGAAUUCGUCUUCUCGUAACAGCAGCGGCAUCCUUCGGCAAGAGCAAAUGCUGCGAGGAUGAAAACGUCGAGGCAAGUCCCUGUAGCAGCUUCCACUGAACGAUCGAUGCUUGCAGCUCCUGCUGGACUGUUUCCCACUGGUGUAGUGAAAAGUUCUUAACUUUGUUGCUCUGAAUGUUUCGUGCUGCUCCCUCAUCGUCUUUAGGAUACCCUCUACUGCGUCGCAGCUCCUCAAACGACCAAUGUCCGCGGCCUUGUCGAGGUAGCAAAGCUUUGGACAGCGACUGGAAUGAUGGCGCAACACCAGCUUCGUUUCAGGCACCAACGCCUCAUCCAGCGGCAGCGGUCCGUGAGUACCAGCGCCGCGCUGCGACCUCUCCAGCUCGAUGAAAGCGUAGGCCCAUGGAUCGCUGCGCUGCCUAGGCACAGACACAAAAGCACCAGAUUUCUACCAGGGAAGCGGCGAGCAAAGAUUUCGAUGAUUCUACUGCCAACAACGCCAAGAUUCAGGCCAGAAAUUCUCACAAAAUGCAGUCUUGCCUCUUGUGGGGACGAUCCAUCGCCCGAGCUCCGCAGCGCCAAUGCGAACCCUCCCAGAAACAACCUUCUUUUUAUCUCUCAGGGCAUUAAACUAGUUUUAAAUAUAAACAUUACUUAGUUUUAAUUAAUGAGAAAACACUUAUGAAAACGAAAAAUUACAUUUGCAGCCUAAUAUCUAUAAUACUUACUCUAUUACUCAAUGCUUCGCUUCAUUUUCCAAUUCUUCAAUAUAUGCUUCUUCUGCAGCUGCAUACCGGUCAUACCCUGGAGGCACUUCUUCAUCAGAUCUGUAAAACUCGAAGCCUAGGCCUGCUUCGUAUAAAACUUCAUCCAGUCGCUGAAAAUAUUCCCAGAUUUGAGAUGCAAGAUUGCAGGGUGGCCGAGGCACAAAUGAAGAUUCCCAAGUCUGGAUGUUUUUUGCAGAUCCGUUUGAGGUUUUCGUAUUCAAUCCGUUGGACGCAGAAACGAGGAUGGUAUUGCGGGAAGUCUGCUCCCUGGACGAUAUAACCCACCUGAAAACGUACACAAAUAAACAUACAAAGAAACAGAGAAUAGAAACUGAUACAAACCUGUUGAUCAAGUCUCUUCAUUGGUCCAGUGUAAGUCCUCUCUGCCCAGUCCUCAUUUCGCAGGGGAUCUCUUGAACACUGAUACGUGUCGUGUCCCUUCGCUAGGCAGAGGUAGCAUUUCUUCUGUUCAUGAGCAAAAGGAUCCACUCCAGGCUAGAAAAAGAAACAAAAAGUCAAACUGGAAAAUUCAGAAUAAGUGAGCUUUCUUACCCCCUUGCAGUGUCUUCCCCAAUGACCUCUCUGCUUACAUCUUCUGCAUUGGUCGACGAGUAAUCCCUCCUUCUCACCCGGAAGACGAGUUCCUAUGAUCUCGUACCUGUUACAAACAAAAGCAAGUAAAGAUCAAACUCAGUCUUGCUUACCUUGCUCGCAUGCGUUCGGCAGGGUUCUCGAUUGCAAAAAUGUCCACCUCCUUGGGCUUUUCCUUUGUGAACGCAUUGUGCUGCCCGUUGCUGCUGCCGCCGUAGGCCUUCUUGUGCUGCCCGUUGCUGCUGCUGCUGUAAGCCUUCAUCCUCAAAAAGGAAAUGUCCAGAACCCACGGGGUACGUUCUUGUUGUUGAAAAGAUACGAGGUUUAAUUCAUCCUGUUUAUCGAGGAUCCCUUACCUGGAGCACCGAAGCAAUGCAAUCAAAGAGGACCUUGAGGAGAGCUUUAUGUAGCUCCGAUGCGCGAUCACAGCCUGGGUGGCACAAAUAAUUAGGUUUCCAUGAGCGACCUGGGUCAAACGCUAACCUUUAUACCAAGCAUAUUCUUAAGUUGCAUAUCAAACGAAGGGCCAGGAUUUGUCCCAGCAACAAUAGUAAUCUUGUAUUCAGCAAACGAGAGAUGAGAUGCUCCCUGAACAAACUAGCCGAGCAAGUGGAGGGAUGCUGGAGAGCGAAGGAAGGGAAAGCGUACAAAAGAAUCAACUUAAAGAUUUAUUUUAUCCACAAUCCAGCAGCAAUAUUCGUAUAUAUUUAAAAUAUGCUGGCCUAAAUAAAAUUAAAUAGAUGUCUUAAUGUGAUAAAAAUAUAGAAUGAAUAUAAAAUACACACACAGAUUAUUAUCUGGCUGUUAGAAAAAGUAAAUUAUAUUAUUUUUUGAAUUUUAACUACAGACUGAUACGUUUACUUGUUAUUUACAAUUGAUUCUUUUUUAGUUUUUGCAUUUUGUCUUCUCAAUGCAAUAUCUAUGCUAAAAUACCAAUAAACUAAAAUAAAAAAGAACCAUCUAUUUGUCAAAUAGAGUUUGACUGGGUAGAAAAGUUAAAUGGCACAUUAUAGGAACAUAAAUCCAUUUUACUAAGCAUAUUUAUUUUUAAAACAUACUAAUUACAAAUCAUUUUGAUGCUUUCAACCUAGGUCCAUAUGUAGACAAUGUAGAAUAUAUAUACAUAUAUAUAUGGCCGGUGUUUACAAUCUUCUAAAGAUUGCUGUGGUAACAUUUCUGCCUAACAAUUUACAUCAUUAAUAUCACAUAGGUGCUACAUUCCACAGAAGAAAAAAUAUUAAGAGAACGAAUUUUUUUAAAGGCUAGCAUUUUUAACCUACAAAAAUGGAUGAUUUACUCUUCCUUUAUAUAUAUCUUAAAAAGUUUGACUUUGACAUUAUGAUUGUUCUAAAUAGUUGAGGAUAAAAUUACAACUAAUAAACUGAAACAUUUCUACAAAGAGUAGUUAGAGUUGUAGUAAAUGAUAUUGAAACAUCAGAUAGCAAAUACAUUAAUAAAAGCAUCAUAUAUAAAAUAAUAUAUAUAAUAAAAUUAUUAUAUUUGAGAAUUAGUUCUAUCAUAUAUAAGCAAGAGUUGGAGAAUGCUGAAAGGAGAUUGACACAGUUCUAUUUUUAUUGCCUAAUAUAUUUUGCAAUUAUAUUAGAAGAGCUGAGGAAAUUCACGAGAUGAAGAUAUAGGUGGAGCAAAGAGUGUGUACAAGCUUGGUGUUAGACAUGGGAAUCUAAAAUAAAAAUCAUAUUUAUAUUUAUUUAUAGCUUUAAGAUAUAUAUCAUUAAAAGUUGGAAUUUUAUAUUUAAAAAAUUAUAGUGCUUUGCAGAAAUUAUGGUUUGUUGUAUUUAAAUUGUUUUAUAAGGACUAUACCCCUUCAAGACAGUUUUGGCCCAAUUCUCUAAAAAUUAAAUAAAUCAAAAUUAUAAGUUAAUAUGGAGAAAUAAUAGAAUAGGGCAAAGGUUUGUUGGUGCAGAUAAAGUAAUAUGUAGCUAUCAUAGCUACAUAUUAAUCUAUGUCCACCAAAUAUAAAAUUACUCUACUAUGUUAAACUUGACAUACUUCACAUUUACUAUGGUUUUUAACCAAAAUUACCUCUUCUAAAUUACCAUUCAAGUUUUAAUUUGAAACAAACAAAAUAUCCAAUAUCUAACAAAAUAGAAUAAUUAUAUAUUAUAGUUAUUUAUUAUAUUAUAAUAUUAUUUUCUAAUUAAAACAUUUAUAAACAUUGACUAUAGUCUAACUAGACCUUAAAAUCAUUUAUAUAAUUUAAUACAUGCAUAGAAAUAAUGUUUUAUAUUAUAUUUUUACUUUUAUAUUACUACUGUGUCUAUUCCCAUCUGGCAUUCCAAUACAAUAAUGCUCUAUUUUUUGUUUUGUAGUUAGGAAAUAUGCUAUUAAUUGGAUGGUUAAUAUUUGAAGGCAUCUAAUCAACGACCUGCAUAGAACUGAGCUGCUUAUAUACAUAAUUAUAAAAUAACAAAUAGAACUUUAGAUUUAGAUAAAAUCACUCUGAAAUAUUUGAGAAUUAAGCAAAACUUCAAAUGUUAUAUCAACCUAUCAAGUAAUAUUUCUAAAUACUAUAUAAUGACUUUUUAUAGCUUAAAGUGACUGCAUUCGUAUUGUAUUACAUUUAAAUUUUAAACCCAGAAAAACUAUAAAUCAGAAAAACUAUUUCUGUAUUUACUACCCAAUACCAUAAAUGCAAUUUUGCUUCCAUAAAAACAUAAAUCACGUUGUUUGCAGUUACUGUUAAAUUCUGUAAAUAUAACUAUUUUUUUGUAUUGGCCAAUUAUACCUUACUAUUAUAAAAAGAACACUUUCUUUUUAAUAAUAAUCUCUAAUAAAGUUUUUUAACAAUACCCUUAAUUUACUUUAUGCUGAUGAACUCCAUAUUAAAACUAUUCUUGGAUCAAUGCAAUUGUGAGUAUAUAGAAGAGUGAAGGGUUUGGAUUGAAAAUAAUCUGAUGGCUACUAAAAUCUUAUUACACUAAUAAUAUUUUAUAGUUAUUGAUUUUCAACCUCUUUAUUUAUGAGGAUGUUUUAAUUUAUAUUUAUUUCUUAAUGAUAAAAAUAGAUAGAAUAUUGGAGCUCUUUUAAAUUUUCUAAUAAAGAUUAUAUUCGACUUUUAGGUCUUAAAAGUAGAUUUGUAUUUGUAAUUAAUCAUUGUAAUAAGAUAAAAUUACUCUAUCAAAGUUGAUAAUAUUUUAAGAGAAUUCAUGAAGUAUUAUUAUUCCCCUUCUCAUAAAUUUGCAGCCUAAUAUCUAUAAUACUUAUUCUAUUACUUUAUUAAAACACAUCUAUUGAAGAAUUGAAAAAUGAAGCGAAGCAUUGAAAGGUUAUGCUUCUUCUGCAGCUGCAUACCGUUCAUACCCUGGAGGCAUUUCUUCAACGGAUCUGUAUAACUCGAAGCCUAGCUCUGCUUCGUAUAAAACUUCAUCCAGUCGCUGAAAAUAUUCCCAGAUAAGGGCCGCAAGAGGACGGGGUGGCUCAGGCACAACCAUGAUUCCCAAGUCUGGAUGUUUUUUGCAGAUCCGUUUGAGGUUUUCGUAUUCAAUCCGUUGGACGCAGAAACGAGGAUGGUAUUGCGGGAAGUCUGCUACCUGAACGAUAUAACUCACCUGAAAACGUACACAAAUAAACAUAAACAAAGAAACAGAGAAUAGAAAGUGAUACAAACCUGAAGACAAAAUCUCUUCAUUGGUCCAGUGUGAGUCCUCUCUGCCCAGUCCUCAUUUCUCAGGGGAUCUCUUGAACACUGAUACGUGUCGUGUCCCUUCGCUAGGCAGAGGUAGCAUUUCUUCUGUUCGUGAGC